rnacentral:piRNA from 1 species
UGAAUGGGUGAGGUCCUGUUG